ACCCUUUUCUGCACUUUUUUCCUUGCUCAUCCUCUUCAUCUUCCACCCUUCCCGUCCUCAUCACAUCUUCAGCAAUCUCAUCAUCAUCGUCGCCCAUCUCAAGGUCAUCUGCGUCAACAACUUCACCUUAAACCAUAACACAACAUGCGAGAUGCUUGUCUCUUUAAUGGUUGAUCUACAGAUUAAACAGUCUGACAGAUUUGGAUCCUAGAACUGAGCUAAAGAGCAAAGAGAACUGAAGAUGAAAUAAGAAGGUGGUCGUGCUCCGUAUGGCCAUGGAGUUCUUCAGCCUGUGCAAUAACAAAUUAUUAGGAUACCACUCAGUCUCCGUCGUGGACGAUUAGUAAUGGCCUUUUCAAGGAUAUGCUCAUCUUCAUCAAUGAUGUGAUAUGUCUUGGUCAAAACUGUGUGCUUGAAGUGAGGGCUCUGAUCAAAGAUAAACUCAAGAUUCUCUUUUGGUUCUUCAUCCCUAUUACAUUUGAUAUUGUUAAGAUACUUAUCUUGCUUAGUUAUUGUUGGGGGUGGAUUUACAUCCUCCCUCAAGGCCCAUUAGACAACCAAAUUAGGCUCAUUUUACCAUCAAACCCUACAUCUCUCUUCUAUAAAUAAGGAACUAUCUCCUUAUGAGAAAGGAGGGGGUUUCUCCUCUUCUUAGAUUAAGAAACAUACUUUCAUAAGAGAUUUGUAGAUUGAAAAGGUUCACUUUACAUUUGUAUCCAUUUUUGUAAUGAACCUUUACUCAAUAAAAUCUCAUUUAUGUUCUUUUCCAUUUGAUUUCAUCUAAAGAUUUCUCCUAAACCUCAAGAAUCUAACUCUCAUUCUUAGAUUCUUUUAUUGUAUUGAUUCAACAAACAUUUCAGCAUAAACACCAUUUUUGGAUCAAACAGUUGGCGCUAGAAAGAGGGGGAAAGGAGAACAAUCUUCAAAAGGUGGAAAAAAAAAAAAAAAAGGAUGAAGUAUCAAUGUCGUUUGUUUCUUCACGAAGGGAGAUGGCUUUGAGCAAGAGAGAUUGACGAUAACAGGUCAAGCUCGAAGCUUUCUUCAACCAAGAUGAAAGUUUUGGUUUCGAUUUACCCCCCAACAAGCCCAAGACUCUGAGCUUGCAAAUCUGGUCCUUCGUUUCAUGAAGAUCGCGAAAGAGAGGAGGGCUUGAGGGGAGCGGCAAUGGCGAUCUCGGCGAUGCUCGAGUCUCGUUCUUUCCCGAGUCUGGUCAAGCAGAAGUCGCGAAGAACACCAGGACAGAGAGAGACGCGAAGAAGCGACUGAGCUCCGAGACACGAGGGGAAAGUUCGAAACUUUCUUCAAUCUCGAUCCGCCGGUGAAGUUGGCCCCGAGACACGAUCAGGUCUCGAUCUUUGCCGGAGAGCGAGCUGCGACUUUAACAAGUUCAACGGAUAGGCUGCGAAGGAGAAAGAUCGAGACUAUCCGCCGGUGAAGACGACAUCUCGAUCCGCCGGUGAGGUUAACGGUAUCUCGCCCACUUCUGGUCCUUGGGUUCAGGAAGAUCGCGGAAGAGCGGAGGACUUGAUCGGAGCGGCAACUGCGAUCUCGGUGAUGCUCGAGUCUUGUUCUUUCCCCAGUUUGGUCAAGUAGAAGUCACGAAGAAGACUAGGACAGAGAGAGACGCGAAGAAGCGACUGAGCUCCGACGUGAAUGGCAGCAGAUCUGUGGCUCCUUCUUGCGAUGAUUGAGUCUGGUUCCGCCAGUGAAGCUUCUGAGAUUGCUCUUCUCGGACUGAUCAUGCUUCUUUCCAGUCCACCAACGAGUCUCAAGCUUGAAGACCUGAGCUCCGACGUCAACGGCAACAAGUAUUUGGCUUCUCCUCGUCAUAACUGGGAGCCUUCUCUUCGGUGACCACGGUCCAAAAGCAGUGACGAUGAACCAAUCACCUCCUCGUUGUGCAAACUAGCUGCAACUCAUCCUCAAAGAGUCAGUCGUGAUUGUUGAGGCAAGAAGAAAAGUCAGAACCAAGAGUAAUAUGAAAUCCUCAAGCCACGCUUUGAGAAACAAACUCAAAGUCUCAUGUUUUGACAUGUGAGGUCUUAGCUCAAGCUCGUAUCCCCAGACCCCAGUGGAGAGAUCAAGACACAUCCUCAUAGCGGCGUCCCACCAGCUUGACCGUUGUACCCAAGAACCUCGUGUUAAUGGGUCAGGCUAUGCGGCUCCUUCUCGUCAAAGCUCGAGACUUGAUCCCGGCAAGAACCAUCUCAUCACAAGCUUGCCGUCUCGGCACGAGCUUGUCGUCUCGUCCUUUCACUUGAAGAGAUUGCAGCACAACUCACAAGCUGAAUCUCAGCAGAGCUCACGAGCCUGACCUCGUCCAACAUUAUCUACAUCUCGAUCCUAAGUUCUCAGCAUAAUAAACUCAUCAAGCUCUUGCCUCUACAUCACGCCGGACACGGUCUUGCACCUGAGCUUCUCAUCAAAGUGUAAAAUGUGGAUCACGACAUCUCUGCUCUCAAUUUGAGGCUUGGGAAUUUCAGUUCCUGACACCACUAUCCUACAUUCUUCCACUGCCUCUUGCUGCUCUGUCAUGACUUGUCUCGGGCUUGUGCUUCUACGGAUGGAGCCUGAGCACCCGCUUUGGCAUGCUCCAGCUUCUCACUGCCCCUGUUAUGAGGCCACUCAUCUUCACAAGAUAACUAUGUGAGACAGCUCACUGCUCCUGUUCGAAGUUCGUCAGCAACUUGGCACCAGUUCAACCCUGGCAGUCGCGCGAUCACCUCAGUAACAGCUCGGCACGACUUGCCACCGCUUCCAGUAACUAGGCGAUCAUCUUAAAGUUUGGCAUCUCCAGCUCGUGAUCACAUGACAAGCAUCACCAGCUCAUGAUCACAAGACAAGGCCUCUUCUACUCGCCACCAUUCACAAGACGUCAAGCUCUCCCACCGCUUGUUUCAUCUCCACCGCAAAGAUAAGUUCUUUAUUGAAUUAUCACAUAUUCACAUGUUUUAAUUACUUUUAAAUUAAUGCUACGGUAAACAUUGUGGCUUUGGUUUAAAUUUUUAAACAAUUUUAAGUUGUUCAUUCUCAUAUAACCUUUAUGAGAUGAUUCAUGCCAUUGCUGAUAUUAAUAAUUAACAAUUAUCAUGUCAUCAUGUGCAAGAGCCGAGCAUUAACAUGGAUUUAACCAUCGUUUGCUUUCUUAUUGACUAUGCAAAACUUGGCUAUUUCUUUUGGUUAACCUUGAUCUGAUCAUGCUUUUUGUUGUGAGCCAGUGAUCAUUGAGCCAAAGAGAAAAAAAAAAGAAUCAACAAGCAGUUGCCACCAUCAUGUCUUCAUGCUUUGUAAGACGGCUCUCAACCACGAGCUCAUCGGGAGGAAGCGGUACCGGCAACACAAGCCAACACGAUUCUCAACAUCAUCGUAGCCCGACGAACACACAAUCCAACAACUUGCUCGACACACAUGAUCUCAACGCGAGACUUCGGGUCAGCAAUAGUUCGGUAAACAUGAUUUUAGGCACGAAUUUAAAUUAAACUUGCUUUUUAUUAGGCACGAAUUUGCAGUCGACUCGCUUAUUGCUAGACACGAGUUUACAAAAACUCGUCUUUGGCAAGGCAUGAGUUUACAGAAACUCUCCUUCUAUAAGGCACGAGCUCUCAGUAAACUCGCAUUCGUCUCAGCAUGAGUUUAGUAAACUCGUCUUUCGCUAAGCACGAGUUUAAAGCAAAUUCGCCUUUUAUUAGGCACAAGUUCAAAAUAAACUCGCCUAAAUCGUCAUAGGCAUGAAUGUGUCUAAUUAAUUGUCUAAUAAACCAUAUUCGUAAAAUUCAUAGAGAUCGACUUCAUCUCUCUCUACGAACUUGGGGGGGGGCUUACUGUUGGGGGUGGAUUUACAUCCUCCCUCAAGGCCCAUUAGACAACCAAAUUAGGCUCAUUUUACCAUCAAACCCUACAUCUCUCUUCUAUAAAUAAGGAACUAUCUCCUUAUGAGAAAGGAGGGGGUUUCUCCUCUUCUUAGAUUAAGAAACAUACUUUCAUAAGAGAUUUGUAGAUUGAAAAGGUUCACUUUACAUUUGUAUCCAUUUUUGUAAUGAACCUUUACUCAAUAAAAUCUCAUUUAUGUUCUUUUCCAUUUGA